rnacentral:rRNA from 1 species
UACGGAGGGUGCAAGCGUUAUCCGGAUUUACUGGGUUUAAAGGGUGCGUAGGUGGGUCUGUAAGUCAGUGGUGAAAUCUCCGAGCUUAACUCGGAAACUGCCAUUGAUACUAUAGGUCUUGAAUUAUCUGGAGGUAAGCGGAAUAUGUCAUGUAGCGGUGAAAAUGCUUAGAUAUGACAUAGAACACCAAUUGCGAAGGCAGCUUACUACGGAUCGAUUGACACUGAGGCACGAAAGCGUGGGGGAUCAAAACAGG